CUCCUACGGGGCGCAGCAGUCGGGAAUAUUGCGCAAUGGAGGGAACUCUGACGCAGUGACGCCGCGUAUGGGAAGAAGGUUUUCGGAUUGUAAACUCCUUUUGUUAGAGAAGAUAAUGACGGUAUCUAACGAAUAAGCACCGGCUAACUCCGUGCCAGCAGCCGCGGUAAUACGGAGGGUGCAAGCGUUACUCGGAAUCACUGGGCGUAAAGAGCGCGUAGGCGGGAUAGCAAGUCAGAUGUGAAAUCCUAUGGCUUAACCAUAGAACUGCAUUUGAAACUGUUAUUCUAGAGUAUGGGAGAGGG
rnacentral:rRNA from 1 species